AACUGACAAGAAAAGAGAUGGAAUUAGAAUGAGCCCCAGGAACACCUCAGAAAUUAUCAUUCUAUUCCACUCUUUUUUUCUAUAUUGCAUGUCCUUUAAUCAUCUAUCACCAAUUAACCUACUUAUAAUGGAACAGAAGUAUCAGUCGAAGCAGCCAGAAAAUGGAA
rnacentral:ribozyme from 15 species